UUUUCUGUGCUUUUAACUUGUAAUAAUUGGUAGGAGCCCAGAUUCGUUCACCUAAUAAGGUGAACUAGAUCCACAUGAUUUAUGUUUUUGGUCUUUACUAAAGCUAUAUCUUUUGCUCAAACCAAAAUAAAACAAUGGGAGAGAAUAAAGAAAGCAGGAAAAAGAACAAAGCUUGAAACAAUGCAAUAUCAUACUUCGCCGUUCCAAUUCAAUAGGCAG
rnacentral:lncRNA from 1 species